CAAUAAGUUAAGUAAGGGCGUAUGGCGGAUGCCUAGGCUCUCAGAGACGAUGAAGGACGUGAUAAGCUGCGAAAAGUUACGGGGAGAAGCACAUAUUUUAUGAUCCGUAAAUAUCCGAAUGGGGCAACCCGGCAUGCUGAAGGCAUGUCACCUAGCAAUAGGGGUAAACCCGGUGAACUGAAACAUCUAAGUAACCGGAGGAAGAGAAAACAAAAGUGAUUCCGUUAGUAGUGGCGAGCGAACGCGGAUUAGCCCAAACCAGUGUUGUUACGGCAAUACUGGGGUUGUAGGACCACGAUAUUCGAAGCUAAGUGAAUUAGAACUGUUUGGAAAGACAGACCAUAGAGGGUGAUAGUCCCGUAUAAGUAAGCGAAGUUUAGAUAGUGGUAUCCUGAGUAGUGCGGGACACGAGUAAUCCUGUAUGAAUCCACCGGGACCAUCCGGUAAGGCUAAAUACUCCUGAGAGACCGAUAGUGAACUAGUACCGUGAGGGAAAGGUGAAAAGAACCCUAAGUAAGGGAGUGAAAGAGAUCCUGAAACCG
rnacentral:rRNA from 1 species